CGCCCGCCUCCUCCCGGCCUCAAGCCGCGGGAGGCGCUGAACCCACCGCCCUCCGCCUCCCGGGCGGGCUCUGUCCCUCCAAGACGGCGCGUCGCCCCGCGGCAGAGGCCGCUCAGGCCGGCGCGGGCUCCCGGAGGACGUGGAGGCGGCGCCCGAGGAGACCCGCGCGCUCUACCGGGAGUACCGCGCCCUGAAGGAGGCCC